rnacentral:rRNA from 1 species
CACGUAGGGGCAAGCGUUGUCCGGAUUUAUUGGGCGUAAAGAGCUCGUAGGCGGCUUAGUAAGUCGGGUGUGAAACCUCCAGGCUCAACCUGGAGACGCCACCCGAUACUGCUGUGGCUAGAGUCCGGUAGGGAGCGUGGAAUUCCUGGUGUAGCGGUGAAAUGCGCAGAUAUCAGGAGGAACACCAGCGGCGAAGGCGGCGCUCUGGGCCGGUACUGACGCUGAGGAGCGAAAGCGUGGGGAGCAAACAGG